rnacentral:rRNA from 1 species
UAGGGUGGUUUUAGCGGUGGGGCUCACCUGUUCCCAUUCCGAACACAGAAGUUAAGCCCACCAGCGCCGAUGGUACUGCGA